rnacentral:misc_RNA from 1 species
UCGUAACAAGGUCUCCGUAGGUGAACCUGCGGAGGGAUCAUUACAAGUGACCCCGGUUUACCACCGGGAUGUUCAUAACCCUUUGUUGUCCGACUCUGUUGCCUCCGGGGCGACCCUGCCUUCGGGCGGGGGCUCCGGGUGGACACUUCAAACUCUUGCGUAACUUUGCAGUCUGAGUAAACUUAAUUAAUAAAUUAAAACUUUUAACAACGGAUCUCUUGGUUCUGGCAUCGAUGAAGAACGCAGCGAAAUGCGAUAAGUAAUGUGAAUUGCAGAAUUCAGUGAAUCAUCGAAUCUUUGAACGCACAUUGCGCCCCCUGGUAUUCCGGGGGGCAUGCCUGUUCGAGCGUCAUUUCACCACUCAAGCCUCGCUUGGUAUUGGGCAACGCGGUCCGCCGCGUGCCUCAAAUCGACCGGCUGGGUCUUCUGUCCCCUAAGCGUUGUGGAAACUAUUCGCUAAAGGGUGCUCGGGAGGCUACGCCGUAAAACAACCCCAUUUCUAAGGUUGACCUCGGAUCAGGUAGGGAUACCCGCUGAACUUAAGCAUAUCA